rnacentral:rRNA from 1 species
GAACGUACGCUGGCGGCACGCCUAACACAUGCAAGUCGAACGAAGUAGCAAUACUUAGUGGCAGACGGGUGAGUAACAUGUAGGUAUCUGCCCUUUGGCCUGGAAUAACACGAGGAAACUUGUGCUAAUACCGGAUAAGUCUUUACGGAGAAAGCUUUAUGCACCAUUGGAUGAGCCUGCACUUGAUUAGUUUGUUGGUGGGGUAAUGGCCUACCAAGACUGUGAUCAAUAGCUGAUUUGAGAGGAUGAUCAGCCACAUUGGGACUGAGACACGGCCCAAACUCCUACGGGAGGCAGCAGUGGGGAAUCUUGCACAAUGGAGGAAACUCUGAUGCAGCGAUGCCGCGUGAGUGAAGAAGGCCCUUGGGUUGUAAAGCUCUUUCGUCGGGGAAGAAAAUGACUGUACCCGAAUAAGAAGGUCCGGCUAACUUCGUGCCAGCAGCCGCGGUAAUACGAAGGGACCUAGCGUAGUUCGGAAUUACUGGGCUUAAAGAGCUCGUAGGUGGUUGAAAAAGUUAGUGGUGAAAUCCCAGAGCUUAACUCUGGAACUGCCAUUAAAACUUUUCGGCUAGAGUAUGAUAGAGGAAAGCAGAAUUUCUAGUGUAGAGGUGAAAUUCGUAGAUAUUAGAAAGAAUACCAAUUGCGAAGGCAGCUUUCUGGAUCAUUACUGACACUGAGGAACGAAAGCAUGGGUAGCGAAGAGGAUUAGAUACCCUCGUGGUCCAUGCCGUAAACGAUGUGUGUUAGACGUUGGAAAUUUAUUUUCAGUGUCGCAGGGAAACCGAUAAACACACCGCCUGGGGAGUACGACCGCAAGGUUAAAACUCAAAUGAAUUGACGGGGACCCGCACAAGUAGUGGAGCAUGUGGUUUAAUUCGAAGAUACGCGCAGAACCUUACCAACACUUGACAUGUUCGUCGCGACUCUAAGAGAUUAGAGUUUUCGGUUCGGCCGGACGAAACACAGGUGCUGCAUGGCUGUCGUCAGCUCGUGUCGUGAGAUGUUGGGUUAAGUCCCGCAACGAGCGCAACCCUCACUUUUAGUUGCCAUCAUUAAGUUGGGCACUCUGAAAGAACUGCCAGUGAUAAGCUGGAGGAAGGUGGGGAUGACGUCAAGUCCUCAUGGCCCUUACGGGCUGGGCUGCACACGUGCUACAAUGGUGGUGACAGUGGGCAGCGAGAUCGCAAGAUCGAGCUAAUCUCCAAAAACCAUCUCAGUUCGGAUUGUUCUCUGCAACUCGAGAGCAUGAAGUUGGAAUCGCUAGUAAUCGUGGAUCAGCAUGCCACGGUGAAUACGUUCCCGGGCCUUGCACACACCGC